CGGGCGGGCCGGGUAAUCGCUGGCCGGUGAUCGCAAGAUUCAUCGGCGGGAGGAAAGUCCGGACACCGUCCUGAGGCAUGGCAAACGAUUUGUUUGCCAGAACUCUUGACAGGGCAACGCGCCUGGUAACGCCAGGGGGCCACGCUUAAAGGCGAGGCUACGGAUAGUGCCACAGAAAAUAAACCGCCGGCGUAUACGAGCACAGUGGCAUCGCGCAGGGAGACCUGCGAGACGUCUCGCACUGUUCGGAACGCAGGCAAGGGUGAAAAGGUGGGGUAAGAGCCCACCGCCGCGAUAGUAAUAUCGCGGGCACGGAAAACCCCGCGUGGUGCAAGGCCAAAUAGGAGGGGAGAGCUGGCCCGGCUCAUUGAGCGUAUUCAUGCGAAUGAAUGCGUUCCGAUUUACGCUGGCUUCGGUCAGCGUGAGUCGAGAACCCUCGGGUAGGCUGCUGGAGUCCCGGUGUGAACCGGGACCUAGAGGAAUGAUUGCCGCGGUUUGCGGGACGCCAAACGUACUGCGAGCUCGCACAGAAUCCGGCUUACAGGCUCGCCCGCUAU
rnacentral:RNase_P_RNA from 1 species